rnacentral:SRP_RNA from 1 species
CGCACUAGUCGGGGAGUUAGCGGUGCCCUGUACCUGCAAUCCGCUACAGCAGGGAUGAAUGCCUAUACCCGGGUGAAUAGAUUUUUCUUGAGCCGUUACCGCGGUGUUGAGAGAGCGGUCUUGCGCAACGAGACCCCGUGAACCAUGUCAGGUGGGGAACCAAGCAGCAUUAAGCGGAAUGUUUCGUGUGCCGCGAGGUUGCCGCUUUUGAGCUGGCUGCACGGCU